UACGUAGGGUGCAGGCGUUAAUCGGAAUUACUGGGCGUAAAGGGCGCGUAGGCGGCCUGUUAAGUCGAACGUGAAAUCCCUGGGCUCAACCCAGGAACUGCGUCCGAUACUGGCAGGCUUGAAUCCGGGAGAGGGAUGCGGAAUUCCAGGUGUAGCGGUGAAAUGCGUAGAUAUCUGGAGGAACACCGGUGGCGAAGGCGGCAUCCUGGACCGGCAUUGACGCUGAGGCGCGAAAGCUAGGGGAGCAAACGGG
rnacentral:rRNA from 1 species